CUGUGCAUCUGCGUCGCAAGUAUAACAAAUGCAGCAGAUGCCAUCAUCAGCAUCUGUUUCUCCUCCACAUCCCAUCCUUUCAAUUUGUUGCACCUUGAUUCGGCUGAUAAGGAGGCUCGAGAAGUUCUCUAGCUGCCCAAGUUUUCCUAGAUUAGCAUCCCCUCUGAGGGAACCAGCCCAGUUAUACUCCAAAAGAUACUGGAAACCACAAUGCAUGGUACUGGGGCAGUCCAUGCUAGCAAAAACAUCCACAACAUCAUUUUGCCCUCCACAUUCUGUCGCCACCCUUGCAUCCAACAAAUUCAAAAUGAUCCCUACAAGAGGUGCUAAUAUCAUGCCUCGAUUUACUUUUUCCAACGAUUGACCAUGUCGUCUAAGUGACAAGUCAAAAAACUCAGCAUCUGCAGCUGAAGUUAUGCGGUUAAGAAUGAAGACAAUUAAUUCAGUUAACCUCCGGAGGUUUGUAUCAGUUCCUGAUAGAAACGCUUGAGGAAUCUCACGGGUAUAGAACUCCAAAAGCCUUGUAAGGUUGCAUGAGAGAUCAAAUAUUACACAACAUUUUCUUUGCUGAAACUCCAAUACCUGGUAUUUUUCUUGCAUUUCCCGAAUAGAAACAGAGAACUCUGUCAUUGUCCAGCUAAGAGUAUUAAAUAGGCGAUUCAGAAAGGCUGAGAACAAUUCUUCAUCAUUGAUGCAAGCUUCCCGCAACAAGUUCUGAAAAACAACCGAUGAUGAUGAUGAUGAUGAUGAUUCUCCUUGCUUUGAAGAACCAAAGCGAGAACCCUUGCACAAACGCAGAAGAAUGUUGGUGACUGGAAUCCAAGAUCUGUUAUCAAAUGCCGACAAUAAUACUUUUGGCAUUCUCUGUGUGGCUGCUUCAUUGCCCUCAAAAACUGCCAAAUAUUCCUUAUAUUGUACCAACACUGAUAUAGAUUGGAGAAGAAGAUCCUUUAGAUCUGCGCUCAAUAUCCUUGGAUCAUUGAAAUGGGUAACUAUGAAAGUAACAAAUGAGGCAAGUCCUUGCUUAAUAAAUAUUGUAGGAGGAACAAAUGGAGGAUCACUCUUGCGCAACACAUGAAAACAGUCAACCAGGGUUUCAAGAUAGAAUUCAGGGAUAUAAAUGAAUAAAGAAUCCACUUUGCUAAGAACCAGAAGCAAUUGGACUAUCCACAUGCAUGUUGCAUACAUUCCUCUCUGCUUCCAAUGAGAGAAAAGGGAGAUGCGAUACCAUGCACAAUGUCUGACACAAUCGAUAACUUCUUCUCGAUAAUCAUUACGAACUUCCUUCAAACGCCGUAAUUGUUCACUACAACCUCUUUCUCUUAUUUGCUUAUCAGUUUCUUCGAGAAGUGAUAUUGACUGUGACUGAUGAGACAUGUAG
rnacentral:misc_RNA from 1 species